UUGAGUUUGCUCUCCAUCAGUAUGAUUGUGGAUGAGGAUUUGGGAGGAAAUCGAGUCAUUAGUUCUGCGAUCGCCUCCUGUGUCCAAAAUAUUGUCCGUUGCUCUGUUAAUUGCAGUGAUCGAUUGUGAUCAAGCUGAAACAAAGAAGCAUUAAGGAAAACGAAAAAUAAAAUUCUAUAUUAACACUCGAAAAAAGAUGGUGGCCACAGGCCAUGGAAAAAUGCAAUAUUGACAGUUGGAGUAAGAAAAUUCUGAUAUUGGCGUAUUUGGUGUACUUUCUUGCAAGUAUUUAAUAUGAACAGUUUGAUGAUUUGAUUCUCACAAGAGAAGAGAGUUGUUCCUCAAUCAGUUCUUGGUUGUUAUUGACAAUUCAUUAGAAAGGAAAUAUUAUCACUUGGAAAUCGAUUUUCGCUGAGAUAACAGUCAUGGCCAAUCAUUUGCAUGAGCCUAUGAACUCUCUUGCUACCAAUUCCGUGGUUGACAUUGUUGAAAGUAACACUGGCAGCUUUUAGGAUUGAGGUUGACAUUGUUGAAACUAACACCUGCAACUUUUAGGAUAGAGGAGCGAGCCUUUUGGAUAAAUGCUUGUGCUAGAACACUUAUCAUCCACGUCCGUUAUCCAUUAAAGAUCCUUCAACAUGCUCCUUUCUCGUCCAAUACUUUGAUUCCAUCCUAUCAUUGUCAGUGGCGGGUGGCCAUGGGAUUGCUAGUUGGAGACUCAUUGGUUCGCCUUCUUGCUAGCCCAAAAGCUAUGUCCUAGAUUGCCGUGGUUUUUUCGUGACUGAGACUAGAUUCUGAAUGCAUUCAAUCACGAACACUUGAUAAUGAGUGGGAAUCCAUAUCCCUUUUCCUUCUUUUUCAUUGAGAGUGAUUUAGAUUGAUUGGACCUGCGAUUAUCAGAUGUGGUAUAACCAAACCAAGUAGCUAGCUCCAAUUGGGAUGUUAAUUAAGGGAUUUGGAUAGAGGGUUCUUUGUACACAACAUUGAAACAAGUUUGUAGGCAAUCAUCCCUUGCCUGAAUAAUAAAAGUUUUGAUACAUUAGCCACCAAGAUCAAGUAUCGAACAGGAUGGGCUCCCCUUAUAGUUCAACAGUAAUUGGAGAUAGUGGGUGUUUCACAACAGUUGUCUAUAUAUGAACUGGUAUUCGUUUUUCAUAUGCAUAUGCUUUUCCUGUAAUUAGAAUCCUCUGAUUGUUUCGUUCAACAUUACUGAGUGGCCGGCUUUUUAGAUCCUUCAUAUGGUGCUUAUUUCCAUGUAUUCUCAUAGGGAAGGGGCAAAGAAUUUUACUUGUAAAAUGUUCAGCAGUUGAAAAUCCUGGUACAGGCCAUGGGAAAAGUUGGUUUCUGAUGAAAGUGACUUCUGUACUCUGAUAAGGGCCCCUGUGAAAGGCGAUACUUCUAGAUAAAUCGUACUGCAUUUCAAAUCCUUAUCGAUAAUCCAAAGAAAGUAUACAAAUUGAUCGUCACAGAAUCAAUUCAUUUCUCUCUCCUGAGCUUUAAGGAUUCUGUCCAAUGUUCUUGUGGUUCACUUUUCCACAAUAAAGCCAAUUGUCUGUGCACUCAUAUUCUGAUUGAUGUGCCACACGGAAUGUUCAUAAAUGGGAGGAUCUAGCAUAACAACGCCUAGCAAAUGCACUGAAAUCACAUGACUGGAAAUUGACAUGGAGGAAGUAGUGUCGUGUGUGCAGAGUCUAGACCAAAUGGGGACAAUUCUUGCUUGUCGAGGCGAUACCUAGGCUCGAGUUGGAAACUUGGCUGGUGGAGUGGUAUGCUAACCUUUCGAUC